rnacentral:rRNA from 1 species
AUACGUAGGGGGCGAGCGUUGUCCGGAAUGAUUGGGCGUAAAGGGCGCGUAGGCGGCUUGUUAAGUCUGGAGUGGAAGUCCUCUUUUCAAGGGAGGAAUUGCUUUGGAAACUGGCGGGCUUGAGUGCAGGAGAGGUUAUCGGAAUUCCCGGUGUAGCGGUGAAAUGCGUAGAGAUCGGGAGGAACACCAGUGGCGAAGGCGGGUAACUGGACUGCAACUGACGCUGAGGCGCGAAAGUGUGGGGAGCAAACAGGAUUAGAUACCCUGGUAGUCCACACUGUAAACGAUGAAUGCUAGGUGUAAGAGGUAUCGACCCCUUUUGUGCCGGAGUCAACACAAUAAGCAUUCCGCCUGGGGAGUACGGCCGCAAGGUUGAAACUCAAAUGAAUUGACGGGG